rnacentral:rRNA from 1 species
UACGGGGGGGGCAAGCGUUGUUCGGAAUUACUGGGCGUAAAGGGCUCGUAGGCGGCCAACUAAGUCAGACGUGAAAUCCCUCGGCUUAACCGGGGAACUGCGUCUGAUACUGGAUGGCUAGAGGUUGGGAGAGGGAUGCGGAAUUCCGGGUGUAGCGGUGGAAUGCGUAGAGAUCCGGAAGAACACCGGUGGCGAAGGCGGUGAGCUGGGCAGUAGCUGACACUGAGGCGCGACAGCGUGGGGAGCAAACAGG